AACGUAGGACGCAAGCGUUAUCCGGAGUUACUGGGCGUAAAGCGCGGGCAGGCGGCCUCGCAAGUCUGAUGUGAAAGCACUCUGCUCAACAGAGUGAUGCCAUUGGAAACUACAAGGCUGGAGUCUGGCAGAGGUAGGCGGAAUUCCGGGUGGAGUGGUGAAAUGCGUAGAGAUCCGGAGGAACACCAGAGGCGAAGGCGGCCUACUGGGCCAGUACUGACGCUGAGCCGCGAAAGCCAGGGGAGCGAACGGG
rnacentral:rRNA from 1 species